AAGCUAAUAAUUUAAACAAAAAUAUUUAUUUUGGAGAUAAAAUUUAGGUUACACCUUUAAAAUA
rnacentral:tRNA from 1 species